UUUCUCAAAUAUCCCUGGUUGGUUCAUAUGCUCUAAUGGGUUCCACACAAGUUGUCUUUUUUCCUACUCUUUCUGUUUAUAUGCAACUUUUGCCCAUUUGGGAUUUAUGGGAAAUUGAAUUUACCUGAAGAUAUUGGGGAAAAAAAAAUACAGAUAGAUUUUUCUGGCCAUGGAUGAAAAUUCUGUUGAAAAGCCUCUUCUUUUCAGGAGAGCUGCUGAUAGUGUGAAGAAAACACCUCUCUUUUUGUUAUGGGCCAAGUAGACUCUUAAGUUUGUAAUACGGCUUAUUUUCCUCGCAUGGUUUCCUCUAUUUUCCUCUUCCCAGCACAGUUUGUCAAUGAAGUUUUGAGAAAUGGACUCAAUUGAGCAGUGGAACUGUUUUUGGGAUUACAGCAGGAAGUAUAUUCAUGGUUUACAGUGGCCCAGAUUUUGUUAUUGCAUACCUUUCCAUAGCCUAUCUCAUCAUCUCUAGGGAAGAGGAGCUCCAUGAGAGGAAGGCCUCAACAAAACCAAGAUUUUGCUCGUGGACUUUCCCUGUUCUUGUAUAGUUGUAUGUUUCUACUCUCGAGUUUAUUGUCCUCUUUGUUUAGUAUUGAUAAUUUGAUGUCUGCUGAUAAUUGGUUGAAUUGCGUACAUGCUAAUGACAAUCUGUUUGAACACUUGGUUCUCAUUUUAGAAGAUUGUGCUGUGUAAGGAUCAAUAGAGUUGUGACUCUUCCUAAAUCAUUUGAGCAAGCUUGUCAUAAAAGAAUGACUGUUUCCUCAACAAUAUAAAGGGACUUUUUGUCCUUUUUGAUGUUAGAAUUUUCCUUUUUUGUUUUAUCUUUUUUCCUAUAAAUCUUUAGUUUUUUACAUUAAUAAGAAAUGUGGAAGUCAA